CUGUAGAAAUGUAGUCUGGAUAACAUAAGCAGCUGGAAUACAGACCACAGGAGAGGCACACCAACUGACCAUUGCAGAGGAAGCCUUCUAGGCCUGCUCUGCUGUAAUGAAGACUUCCCAAAAGUUCCUGAUGCUGGAGCAAGAGCCCAAGUGAAGUGGGUUUGAACAUUAGAUAGUUCAUUAGAACCAUUCAGCAGCUGUGAAGUCCAGUGUAUGUGGCAGAUCCCAUAUAAGAAGUAGGAGUACAUGGGUCACAUAUAGGCUUUUUCAAAAAGUUCACCAUCUGGUGGGCAAAUGGCCAUUACAAUAGAGUGUGACAAAUUCAACAAGUGAAAAGGUUCAGGGCACUGGGGAACCAGAAAAGGUGCAUGAACCUUGUUGAGGGGUGGUUAGUAGAGGAAGGUCAGAGAAGGUUUCCUGGAAUUAAUGCCCAAGAUAAGUUUACAAGACAAUCGCUUUUAACCAACCAAAGGGAAAGAGGGCUUUCUAGGCAAGGUGCCAGGCAAUGCAUGCAAGAGAUUAAAGUCAAGAAACAACCUGAGCAACAUUAGAAGUUCUAGAAUGUUGAGAAAGUUCCAGUUCCAGUUUGCAAGCCUUAAGUGUUGAAAUAGACACAGGUUCCAUGUCUUAAGCUUGUUGAAAGGGCUUCCUCAAUCAUUUUGUACAUUUCUAUAGAAGCUUUGGAGAUCUGAGUUUUUAGGCUAGGGACUAUAGGAUUAGGAGAAAUUGAAUGCUGGAAAGGAGAAUUGGAGGCUGGGAAAUUAGUUUUGGGGGACUCUAUGUCUGUUUAAGUGACUCUUCUGCAAAUUGGAGACUGAUGAUGAAAUUGACAAAGGAAGUGAAAGUGACUAAAGACCCUGUGUCUCAUUAAAAUGAAUUCAGAGGUUAAGACAAUAAGCAAAUAGCAAGCACAAUUUUAAAAGCAAAUUUCAUAAGGCUAAAAUAUUGAUUAAUUAAGUCACAUAUUCUUGAUUGAUGAUGUCAUCACUUUGAUGAAGCUAACGAGAUGAUGCAUACAGAUUGGAAUAAAUAUUUGCAAAGAACAACACCAGAAGAGCCAGAUAUCUUAUAGAACACACAAGAACUUAUUAUAAAAUAAAACAACAGGAAGAUGUCCAAAGACCAAAGGAGGAAGGAUAUGAUCAGGAAAUUUAUAGAAGAGGAAACCCCAAAACUGAGCAAGCAUUUUGGGGCAAAGAUUGUUUAACAUUUCACUAUCUUUCUUUGUUUUGUUUUUUUUGGCACACAGCCAGACUGUAUUUCUUGUCUUAGUUGCUGGAGGGGAUGUAGAUGGUUGUAGUCUUGCUGGGAGCAGUCUGGUGAUAAUCUGCAGAAAUUGUUACACAAGUCUAUACAGAGGAGACAUGGAUGUCAAUGGGGCCAUUAAAUGUGCUGGGAAGCUGGGAGCUAUCUGGAUGUCCUGCUCCGAGGAUGUGGAUAGAGUAAGUGAUGGGGUGCAAAUUAUGGAGAACAAUGCAGUGAUAUGAAAGCAAUGAGCCAUGUGCCCAUACAGCAAUGUGAAUGGACCUUGAAAAUACAGUGAAAAUGAUGUAAAUAAAAUAUAUGCAAACACAACAUUGCAUAUUUUACAAAAAAAACAUUAGAAAGAAUAUACAUUAAACAUUUUAAAAU
rnacentral:lncRNA from 1 species